UCUUCCGCAAUGGACGAAAGUCUGACGGAGCAACGCCGCGUGAGUGAUGAAGGCUUUCGGGUCGUAAAACUCUGUUGUUAGGGAAGAACAAGUGCUAGUUGAAUAAGCUGGCACCUUGACGGUACCUAACCAGAAAGCCACGGCUAACUACGUGCCAGCAGCCGCGGUAAUACGUAGGUGGCAAGCGUUAUCCGGAAUUAUUGGGCGUAAAGCGCGCGCAGGUGGUUUCUUAAGUCUGAUGUGAAAGCCCACGGCUCAACCGUGGAGGGUCAUUGGAAACUGGGAGACUUGAGUGCGGAAGAGGAAAGUGGAAUUCCAUGUGUAGCGGUGAAAUGCGUAGAGAUAUGGAGGAACACCAGUGGCGAAGGCAGCCACCUGGACCGACACUGACGCUCAUGUACGAAAGCGUGGGUAGCAAACAGGAUUAGAUACCCUGGUAGUCCACGCCGUAAACGAUGAGUGCUAAGUGUUAGGGGGUUUCCGCCCCUUAGUGCUGCAGCUAACGCAUUAAGCACUCCGCCUGGGGAGUACGGUCGCAAGACUGAAACUCAAAGGAA
rnacentral:rRNA from 1 species